rnacentral:rRNA from 1 species
GACCCCAAGUCAGGCGAGACUACCCGCUGAGUUUAAGCAUAUCAAUAAGCGGAGGAGAAGAAACUUACAAGGAUUUCCUUAGUAACGGCGAGUGAACUGGGAAUAGCCCAGCCUUAGAAUCGAAUGGUUUUGCUGUUUGA